UUAAGCGACUAAGCGUACACGGUGGAUGCCCUGGCAGUCAGAGGCGAUGAAGGACGUGCUAAUCUGCGAAAAGCGUCGGUAAGGUGAUAUGAACCGUUAUAACCGGCGAUGUCCGAAUGGGGAAACCCAGUGCAAUUCGUUGCACUAUCGUUAACUGAAUACAUAGGUUAACGAGGCGAACCGGGGGAACUGAAACAUCUAAGUACCCCGAGGAAAAGAAAUCAACCGAGAUUCCCCCAGUAGCGGCGAGCGAACGGGGAGCAGCCCAGAGUCUGAAUCAGCUUGUGUGUUAGUGGAACGGUCUGGAAAGUCCGACGGUACAGGGUGAUAGUCCCGUACACCAAAAUGCACAGGCUGUGAACUCGAAGAGUAGGGCGGGACACGUGGUAUCCUGUCUGAAUAUGGGGGGACCAUCCUCCAAGGCUAAAUACUCCUGACUGACCGAUAGUGAACCAGUACCGUGAGGGAAAGGCGAAAAGAACCCCGGCGAGGGGAGUGAAAAAGAACCUGAAACCGUGUACGUACAAGCAGUGGGAGCACCUUCGGGUGUGACUGCGUACCUUUUGUAUAAUGGGUCAGCGACUUAUAUUCUGUAGCAAGGUUAACCGUAUAGGGGAGCCGCAGGGAAACCGAGUCUUAACUGGGCGUUAAGUUGCAGGGUAUAGACCCGAAACCCGGUGAUCUAGCCAUGGGCAGGUUGAAGGUUGGGUAACACUAACUGGAGGACCGAACCGACUAAUGUUGAAAAAUUAGCGGAUGACUUGUGGCUGGGGGUGAAAGGCCAAUCAAACCGGGAGAUAGCUGGUUCUCCCCGAAAGCUAUUUAGGUAGCGCCUCGUGAAUUCAUCUUCGGGGGUAGAGCACUGUUUCGGCUAGGGGGUCAUCCCGACUUACCAACCCGAUGCAAACUACGAAUACCGAAGAAUGUUAUCACGGGAGACACACGGCGGGUGCUAACGUCCGUCGUGAAGAGGGAAACAACCCAGACCGCCAGCUAAGGUCCCAAAGUCAUGGUUAAGUGGGAAACGAUGUGGGAAGGCACAGACAGCCAGGAUGUUGGCUUAGAAGCAGCCAUCAUUUAAAGAAAGCGUAAUAGCUCACUGGUCGAGUCGGCCUGCGCGGAAGAUGUAACGGGGCUAAACCAUGCACCGAAGCUGCGGCAGCGACACUAUGUGUUGUUGGGUAGGGGAGCGUUCUGUAAGCCUGCGAAGGUGACCUGUGAGGGUUGCUGGAGGUAUCAGAAGUGCGAAUGCUGACAUAAGUAACGAUAAAGCGGGUGAAAAGCCCGCUCGCCGGAAGACCAAGGGUUCCUGUCCAACGUUAAUCGGGGCAGGGUGAGUCGACCCCUAAGGCGAGGCCGAAAGGCGUAGUCGAUGGGAAACAGGUUAAUAUUCCUGUACUUGGUGUUACUGCGAAGGGGGGACGGAGAAGGCUAUGUUAGCCGGGCGACGGUUGUCCCGGUUUAAGCAUGUAGGCUGGUUGUCCAGGCAAAUCCGGAUAAUCAAGGCUGAGGUGUGAUGACGAGGCACUACGGUGCUGAAGUAACAAAUGCCCUGCUUCCAGGAAAAGCCUCUAAGCAUCAGGUAACAUCAAAUCGUACCCCAAACCGACACAGGUGGUCAGGUAGAGAAUACCAAGGCGCUUGAGAGAACUCGGGUGAAGGAACUAGGCAAAAUGGUGCCGUAACUUCGGGAGAAGGCACGCUGGUGUGUAGGUGAAGUCCCUGCGGAUGGAGCUGAGACCAGUCGAAGAUACCAGCUGGCUGCAACUGUUUAUUAAAAACACAGCACUGUGCAAACACGAAAGUGGACGUAUACGGUGUGACGCCUGCCCGGUGCCGGAAGGUUAAUUGAUGGGGUUAUCCGUAAGGAGAAGCUCUUGAUCGAAGCCCCGGUAAACGGCGGCCGUAACUAUAACGGUCCUAAGGUAGCGAAAUUCCUUGUCGGGUAAGUUCCGACCUGCACGAAUGGCGUAAUGAUGGCCAGGCUGUCUCCACCCGAGACUCAGUGAAAUUGAACUCGCUGUGAAGAUGCAGUGUACCCGCGGCAAGACGGAAAGACCCCGUGAACCUUUACUAUAGCUUGACACUGAACAUUGAGCCUUGAUGUGUAGGAUAGGUGGGAGGCUUUGAAGCGUGGACGCCAGUCUGCGUGGAGCCAACCUUGAAAUACCACCCUUUAAUGUUUGAUGUUCUAACGUUGGCCCCUGACCGGGGUUGCGGACAGUGUCUGGUGGGUAGUUUGACUGGGGCGGUCUCCUCCCAAAGCGUAACGGAGGAGCACGAAGGUUAGCUAAUCCUGGUCGGACAUCAGGAGGUUAGUGCAAUGGCAUAAGCUAGCUUGACUGCGAGCGUGACGGCGCGAGCAGGUGCGAAAGCAGGUCAUAGUGAUCCGGUGGUUCUGAAUGGAAGGGCCAUCGCUCAACGGAUAAAAGGUACUCCGGGGAUAACAGGCUGAUACCGCCCAAGAGUUCAUAUCGACGGCGGUGUUUGGCACCUCGAUGUCGGCUCAUCACAUCCUGGGGCUGAAGUAGGUCCCAAGGGUAUGGCUGUUCGCCAUUUAAAGUGGUACGCGAGCUGGGUUUAGAACGUCGUGAGACAGUUCGGUCCCUAUCUGCCGUGGGCGCUGGAGAAUUGAGGGGGGCUGCUCCUAGUACGAGAGGACCGGAGUGGACGCAUCACUGGUGUUCGGGUUGUCAUGCCAAUGGCACUGCCCGGUAGCUAAAUGCGGAAGAGAUAAGUGCUGAAAGCAUCUAAGCACGAAACUUGCCCCGAGAUGAGUUCUCCCUGAGACUUUAAGUCUCCUGAAGGAACGUUGAAGACGACGACGUUGAUAGGCCGGGUGUGUAAGCGCAGCGAUGCGUUGAGCUAACCGGUACUAAUGAACCGUGAGGCUUAACCUU
rnacentral:rRNA from 1 species